rnacentral:misc_RNA from 1 species
UCCGGUUUGGCACCGGCAGUCUCCCCUUAGAGUGCCCAACUUAAUGCUGGCAACUAAGGGCAGGGGUUGCGCUCGUUGCGGCACUUAAGCCAACACCUCACGGCACGAGCUGACGACAGCCAAGCAGCACCUGUGCUGGCCCCUUACGGACACGGGCUUUCACCCGCUUUAACCAGCAUGUCAAGCCCAGGUAAGGUUCUUCGCGUUGCAUCGAAUUAAGCCACAUGCUCCGCCGCUUGUGCGGGCCCCCGUCAAUUCCUUUGAGUUUUAGCCUUGCGGCCGUACUCCCCAGGCGGAGUGCUUAAUGCGUUAGCUGCGGCACAGAGAGGGUUGAAGACCUCCCCACACCUAGCACUCAACGUUUACGGCUGGGACUAA